rnacentral:rRNA from 1 species
UUUAUUAAGAGUUUGAUCCUGGCUCAGGAUGAACGCUGGCGGCGUGCCUAAGACAUGCAAGUCGAGUGGGUUUAGACCCACGGCGAACGGGUGAGUAAUACUCAGGAACUUUUUUCAAGUCGGGCAUAACCAGCCGAAAGGUUGGAUAAUUCCCGAUACGUCGUAAGACGAAAGUAGCAAUACGCUUGAAGUGAGGCCUGGGCACCAUCAGCUAGUUGGUAGGGUAAUGGCCUACCAAGGCUAUGACGGUUAGCGGCCCCGAGAGGGGGAACCGCCACACUGGAACUGCGACACGGUCCAGACUCCUACGGGAGGCAGCAGUUUGGAAUAUUGGACAAUGGGCGAAAGCCUGAUCCAGCGACGCCGCGUGGACGAUGAAGGCCUUCGGGUUGUAAAGUCCUUUUGGCAGGGAAAAAUCUUUGAUUGUACCUGCAGAAUAAGAGGUUGCUAACUCUGUGCCAGCAGCAGCGGUAAUACAGAGACCUCAAGCGUUAUCCGGAAUCAUUGGGCGUAAAGCGUACCGAUAGGUGGUUUAGAAAGUCAGAAGUGAAAUCUUAAGGCUUAACCUUGAGACUGUCUUUUGAAACUUCUAAACUAGAGGGGCAAAGAGGAAGCUGGAACGAACGGUGUAGUAGUGAAAUGCGUUGAUAUCGUUCGGAACACCAAUAGCGUAGGCAGGCUUCUGGGUGCCACCUGACACUGCUAGGACGAAAGCGUGGGGAGCGAUAAGGAUUAGAUACCCUUGUAGUCCACGCUGUAAACGAUGUACGUUCGGUGCUAGAGAGUAUCGACCCUCUUUGGUACCUAAGCUAACGCGUUAAACGUACCGCCUGGGGAGUACGGCCGCAAGGCUAAAACUCAAAGGAAUUGACGGGGACCCGCACAAGCGGUGGAGCAUGUGGUUUAAUUCGACGGUAAGCGAGGAACCUUACCAGGGCUUGACAUGUAGCUGCAUAUACCAGAGAUGGUAUAGCCUUCGAGGGUGCUACACAGGUGCUGCACGGUUGUCGUCAGCUCGUGCCGUGAGGUGUUCACUUAAGUGUGAAAACGAGCGCAACCCCUACGGUGAGUUACAAGUGUCUCACAGAACUGCCGGCGUCUAAGCCGGAGGAAGGUGGGGAUGACGUCAAAUCAGCGUGGCUCUUACGCCCUGGGCGACACACGUGCUACAAUGGGAAUCUACAAAGGGACGCCAAAGCGCAAGCUGGAGCAAAUCCUUUAAAACUUCUCUCAGUUCGGAUUGGGGGCUGCAACUCGCCCCCAUGAAGCUGGAAUCGCUAGUAACCGUGGAUCAGCCUCGCCACGGUGAAUACGUUCUCGGGUUUUGUACACACCGCCCGUCAAGCGAUGGGAGCCGGGGGUAUCUGAAAUCUACUUUGUGGAUGAGGGUAAAACCGGUGACUGGCGCUAAGUCGUAACAAGGCAUCGGUAGCGGAAGCUGUCGAUGGAUCACCUCCUUU